rnacentral:rRNA from 1 species
UACGUAGGGUGCGAGCGUUGUCCGGAAUUAUUGGGCGUAAAGAGCUCGUAGGCGGUUUGUCGCGUCGGCCGUGAAAUCUCCACGCUUAACGUGGAGCGUGCGGUCGAUACGGGCAGACUUGAGUUCGGCAGGGGAGACUGGAAUUCCUGGUGUAGCGGUGAAAUGCGCAGAUAUCAGGAGGAACACCGGUGGCGAAGGCGGGUCACUGGUCCGGUACUGACGCUGAGGUGCGAAAGCGUGGGGAGCAAACAGG